rnacentral:rRNA from 1 species
UCGUGUUUUGAAAUGUCUGCUUGAUUGCGUUAACGAACGAGACUUCCGCCUUUAAAUAGAGUGGAUAAGCGAGUGCUGUGGAGUUUGAGGUCAAGAGGUGAGCCCGGAGGCGUAAGAAGGGUUUUGUUCCCCUUGCGUUUUUCCGACUGUGCUGUGCUCUGGCUGAUCCACUUACCGCUUGUUCAAGUAUUUCUCUUCUUAAAGGGACUAAUGACAAAAAGUCAUGGGAAGUGGGAAGCAAAACAGG